ACAAAGGUUCUUUUCAGAGCCACUAAAUCCCCAGUCAAAUGAGCU
rfam:Xenopus laevis strain J chromosome 6S, whole genome shotgun sequence.